GGAGUCUGGUCCGUGUCUCAGUACCAGUGUGGGGGACCUUCCUCUCAGAACCCCUACUGAUCGUCGCCUUGGUGGGCCGUUACCCCGCCAACAAGCUAAUCAGACGCAUCCCCAUCCCAUACCGACGAGUCUUUGUUCCUCAUAAGAUGCCCAACAAGGAAAACAUAGAGUAUUAAUCCGACUUUCGCCGGGCUAUCCUCUGGUAGGGGGAAGGUUGGAUACGCGUUACUCACCCGUGCGCCGGUCGCCAUCUAUCAAAGCAAGCUUCGAUAAUGCUGCCCCUCGACUUGCAUGUGUUAAGCCUGUAGCUAGCGUUCAUC
rnacentral:rRNA from 1 species